rnacentral:lncRNA from 1 species
AUUGUUUCAGUAAGUCAACAAAUUUUUUAAAUUGGCCCGCAUCUUUGGUUUUAAUAAGCCUUUGAGGGUAAGGGAUAGGUGGUUUAUAAGGUGGUGGAGGUACAUAAGGUUCUUUCUUUUCUACGGUUUCCUUAUUACUCUCCUCCUUUUCCUUAGGUUUAUUUUCUUCCUCAGUUGACUUUUUAGAGUUUUGGUUUUCAAUUCUUGGAUCAG